ACCAGACUCCUACGGGAGGCAGCAGUGGGGGAUAUUGCACAAUGGGGGAAACCCUGAUGCAGCGACGCCGCGUGUGGGAAGACGGUCCUCUGGAUUGUAAACCACUGUCCCCAGGGACGAAGAUGACGGUACCUGGGGAGGAAGCUCCGGCUAACUACGUGCCAGCAGCCGCGGUAAUACGUAGGGAGCGAGCGUUGUCCGGAAUUACUGGGUGUAAAGGGAGCGUAGGCGGGGAUGCAAGUCCGGAGUGAAAGCCCGGGGCUCAACCCUGGGACUGCUCUGGAAACUGUAAAGCUGGAGUGCGGGAGGGGCAGGCGGAAUUCCUGGUGUAGCGGUGAAAUGCGUAGAUAUCAGGAGGAACACCGGCGGCGAAGGCGGCCUGCUGGACCGUAACUGACGUUGAGGCUCGAAAGCGUGGGGAGCAAACAGGAUUAGAUACCCCAGUAU
rnacentral:rRNA from 1 species